rnacentral:sRNA from 2 species
UUUGACAACCAAUACUAAUCUUCGCCCCUUCCCAUACAAUCACCCAAUCCUCCGUCUGAUGCGGCAUGACCCCGCGAACCUCCAUUUCAUUCCUCGCUGCCUCAAACCAAAUCUCCCGUAGGCGGGGCGGCCUCCUACUUUCUUCCCCGCUCCCAUAUACCUUAGAGGCCCGCUCAUCGUUCCUAAUCGCAUCUAAAUCGGCUUGCAUAUUCCGCAUGAACUCCCUCCGUAUGCUGCGCUGGUUAUUACCCCCUCCCUUCUCAGCGGCGAAAAAUUCGGCAAUCCGGCCUAGCCCGGAUGUGGUGAGCAGCAUGCUAAUCCACAGAUCGCAAGAUGUGGGGAAUGGCUGCUCGGAGGAGAGUGUGAGUUGCAGAUAGGAGACGAGAAGGUGGAUGCAAUGCCUGAAGUUUGCGGAACAUUAUGGUGCGGUCGGCGGGUUGAAUGGUGACAGGAAGUCGGCCAGCCUUGUAUACGGCGUAGAGGUUGGACUGAAGUUCAGACCGGGCCUGCGCGUAUGUCUCUAAGAAGAACAGAGUAUAAAACCUAGGAUAGUGGAUAUUAGCCGGCUACGUCAAUUUAAAAAAAAAUAGUAAAUAGGCUGGGUAAUGAUGGCGCCGCCGCUGGGCAAUUAUGGAGAUGUUUGUAUAUACUCACAUGAGGGGUGUAAGCUUGAAUUGCAACUGCGCUAUUCCGCCUUCACGAUAGGCUUGAAAGUCCUUUUUAGAUGUAAAUAUAGCUCUAUGAGCAGGAUCACUUUGCAAGUACCUCUCUAACACACUG